UCGAUCUAUUUUCUGAGGUGAUCCGAUCGAAGUGAAGUUUGUGGCGGCGUUCUUCUCUGUGGAUGAGGUCCAGGGAUGUGACGGUGGCUCAUGGCCUAAACUCUCCGGCGAUGGGAUGGAGAUCCUUUAUUGGUGACGAUGCUGCACGGCCGCUCGGUUUCGAGACUGGUUGUCAAGGUAUGUGGCAGUUGGUGGGCUCACCGGAGUUGAUUUUGGCUUGUCAAGGUCUCGCUGCUCGAACACUCACGCGGCCGGCAUCCCCUGCUUCUUCCCUGGGCGCUUUGCUGCCCUCGUGCAUGUGCUUAUCCGCGCCGGUCAGUGCCCCUGCCCCGCCCCUCAAGUCCCGUCCAUGCGACCCCCGAUUGACUCAUGUGAGGCUGUGCUGACUACUGCUAUGUAUCAUUAUGCGGCCGGUGGAGUCCAGUAAAAAUUCAUAUGCACGAGAAGUUCACAGCUGGUCUCGUGCUCGGCAGCUGUUAUGAAGUUCAGGAUUGUACUCGGAGCAACAGCUUUGAACUUAAAUAAAUCAAGAUGUUGUGAACGUGAGAUAUACUACUGCAUCCGGUAAUCUCUCAGUCCGGCUUCGGAUGUUUCAUGCAGGUUUCUUUGUGACGAUCUGAAUUUCUGUAGUGAUGUUCAAGUCCAAUGAUAUUCUAUGCAAACAAGAAAGCUCCUGCCAGAACCAUCCAUGGAGUCCGUGAACUACGCCGCUGCCAGAUUCUAUAAGCAUCAGGGUCAUCUGAUUUCAGAAGCGUCUUGAGGCCGGCGACGAGGUGGACUCUGCUCCCCGCAGAAGAGUGCGCAUGGGCAAGCAGGCGGCUCCUGAAAUCGAGCUUGCUUGCUUCUACUUCCUACGGAUAAUUGAGUGUUACGUGUGCGCUGUAAUGUGCACGGCCGCGAUAGGCCUCGUCGGACGACAUGCGGCCACAGAGUCCGACGAUCGGCGGCGGCGCUGUGGGGAAACGGGAAUUACUGGCGGCUUGGAUAAGGCUCGCGUUUGCUAUGGGGUUGAACACUUCAGACAGCUUGCCUUCGAGCUCGUCUGUCAGGUGCUCCAUCUGGUCGCAGGACUGUCGAUAAGGCCGUGGUGGAUUCUGUCCGAUCGCGGGGCGUUGAUGUGGCAGCGGUGGAACUCGUUCUGGUGGUUGGGACUCUUGAUCUUGCGGCCCACAGUGGACCUCGGCCUGGUCGCCGGUCGCUCUUUCUGGUCACCACUCGGUCCGUCUCCCAGCCCUGGGCCUUGGUGCACCAAGAUGCAUCCUUUCUUACAGUACCUCCAGUUCUAACAAUUGUUGAUGUAGCGUGGAAGCAGCAGGACAUGUUGCACUUUGAAGCUGAUACGUGUUGCUAGGAGCACCGCCGCGGUUCCUACACUAUAGUGUAAUUGAACCUUCUGAUGCUGUCCUUCUGUCAUUGUAUCAUUCCUUGAUUUC